rnacentral:rRNA from 1 species
GGUGGUGCAUGGUUGUCGUCAGCUCGUGUCGUGAGAUGUUGGGUUAAGUCCCGCAACGAGCGCAACCCUUAUUAUCAGUUGCCAGCAUUCAGUUGGGCACUCUGGUGAGACUGCCGGUGACAAACCGGAGAAAGGUGGGGAUGACGUCAAAUCAUCAUGCCCCUUAUGACCUGGGCUACACACGUGCUACAAUGGACGGUACANNNNNNCGCGAAGUCGUGAGGCUAAGCUAAUCUCUUAAAGCCGUUCUCAGUUCGGAUUGUAGGCUGCAACUCGCCUACAUGAAGUUGGAAUCGCUAGUAAUCGCGGAUCAGCAUGCCGCGGUGAAUACGUUCCCGGGUCUUGUACACACA